rnacentral:miRNA from 1 species
GCUCUGUGUGUGUGUGUGUGUGUGUAUGUAUAUAUAUAUAUAUAUAUAUAUAUAUACAUAUAUAUAUAUAUAUAUACAUAUAUAUGCGUACACACACACACUCUCAGACACACACACACAUA